rnacentral:lncRNA from 1 species
GGGAUGGGGAGACCUUGCAAAAGGCCACUAGGUCUUUGAUGCUCUACCUUAAUCCUCUGGUAUGAGAGACACCGAGAGAUGUACUCCUUUUUUUCUUCAUUCCCAGCCACCAAAAAUGGUGCUUCAGAUCAUGAUAUAUUUUAGUACUACUAGGGUGUAUGGACAAUUUGGAUGAGUGAGCUUCCUUUAGGGGAUCUAUUUUGAGUUCGAGGU